rfam:Leersia perrieri chromosome 3, whole genome shotgun sequence.
AUACCUUUCUCGGCCUUUUGGCUAAGAUCAAGUGUAGUAUCUGUUCUUAUCAGUUUAAUAUCUGAUAUGUGGGCCAUGUGUCCACUUCGAUAUUAAAUUUAUUUUUUGUGGGGGAGGGUCCACNNNNN